UACGAAGGGGGCUAGCGUUGUUCGGAAUUACUGGGCGUAAAGGGCGCGUAGGCGGCGUGUCAAGUCAGGCGUGAAAGCCCCGGGCUCAACCUGGGAACCGCGCUUGAGACUGGCAUGCUCGAGUUCGGGAGAGGAUGGUGGAAUUCCCAGUGUAGAGGCGAAAUUCGUAGAUAUUGGGAAGAACACCGAUGGCGAAGGCAGCCAGUCUGGACCGACACUGACGCUGAGGCGCGAAAGCG
rnacentral:rRNA from 1 species